rnacentral:rRNA from 1 species
AUUGAACGCUGGCGGCAGGCCUAACACAUGCAAGUCGAACGAGUGGCGCGCGGGGGAGUAAUAUCUGGGACCCUGCCCCAUGGAGGGGGGUAACUACUGGAAGCGGGAGCUAAUACCACAUCCCCUCGGAUGUGCCCAGAUGGGAUUAGCUAGUGGGUGGGGUAAGGUAUCACCUAGGCGACGAUCCCUAGCUGGUCUGAGAGGAAUACCAGCCACACUGGAACUGAGAUACGGUCCAGACUCCUACGGGAGGCAGCAGUGGGGAAUAUUGCACAAGGGGAGCAAGCCUGAUGCAGCCAUGCCGCGUGUAUGAAGAAGGCCUUCGGGUUGGAAAGUACUUUCAGCGAGGAGGCGUUACUCGCAGAAGAAGCACCGGCUAACUCCGUGCCAGCCGCCGCGGUAAUUC